GCACAGUAAAUUGCUCUUCCCACAUUUCACUGGAACCGUCCGAUGUUGUAACUUUUUCUGCACUUUCUUCUCUCUGAAACGAGCAAAUGACUUAUGGGACCGGUUGUGUGGGGAGCCCACCAGUCAGAGGCAGCCACGCCUGCUCGUCAAAGUCACCUUCCUUCUCCUAUGCGCGUGGGGUAGUAAAACCUAGAUCACGGGGCGCCCAAUCCGCGCGUCUCCUCUCCUCCCCAAUCCCUGGUUCUCCUCUUCCCCCUAUGGCUCUCGAGCGGCGGCGCUGGGCCGGAGGUGGAGGAGGCCAGCCACGACGUUCCAGGGUGCCGCUACCUCCCCCGUCCGGCGCCUCGAGCUCUGCAAAUCGAAGCAGCGGCGGGAGGAGCUCCUGCGCGGCCAAUGAAUCUCGUUCUCUCCUCUCCCCGCCGCCGCCAGCGCCUCUACAACUCGCCCACCAGCGCUGCUACAGCGCCCCAGCCAGCGCCAUGGAGGGCAUGUCCUCAAAGUUCGGUCCCCAUCACCAGCGCCCUGGAAGGCGACCUCCACCGCAGCUUUCCGCCGUGGGUGAUGCGUUCACGGAUUUGCGGGUGCAUGGCGACCGGCGUUCGCACAGGCACCAGCCCGCCGGAUGUGAAUCCUUCUCGCUAAGGUGAGGUGCCAUCACUGACUACGGGUUUCCAUGCUGAAAAGUGCUGACGAGCAAGGGAUAAGGAGCUUCUAGAUGCCUGGGGAGGAUGGAACCCUAUCUCUUCAUGAUUGAGAGUAAGAAGACUGCAUGGAGAAAUUUGGAGUUGGAACAAGAACAUGACUGCAGAAGAAAGCAAGGGAGAAAUGGCUUGUGGAUGCAUGAGGGGCUAUGGGGUUGGGGAACUCGAUGAAGCCACAUCUCUCCAAGUUUGACAUAGAUAGGCCGAGUGGGAAGAAGAAUAAAACCAGAUAUGUGCUACAACUAAACUGCGACUUCGCAAAAUAAGCAUAGGAAUUUUGUUACGUCAGUCCUCGUUACAUUGCGACUUAGAUAUCCUAAUCAAAAGGUCUCCAGAAUCCUGUUAGAGAACUCCGUCACUGCUACAAUGCUACACCUUUACUGACAGAGCAAAUGUUCUAAAUUCCUUGCUAUAACUGUUGCAGUUCUAAUUGUAUUUUGUUCAAACAUCCUAAGAGCAGAAACUUCAUCAUUGUACAAUGCUCCCUACUUUUUAUAGUCCAUAAUUGCUUCUAAUUUGUUGUCUUAAUUCCUUUUUUCAAGAACAUGUUCUGAGUAAAUAUAGGAAAGUUAUAUAGCUACGGAUAGAUAUAUUGCAUUCAGAACGUUGUUCUGAGUAAGUUUUACUAGGUUCAAUCUCCACCACAUAUCUUGGAUUACUGAAUCUUGCCAGAAGACAACAGUUUUUUUUGAAAAAUGUACAUGCUUUUGUCGUAGAUUACAAUGAAGCUAAUGCCCUCACAAUCUUCAGUGAAAAUUAUUUUCAGUUUACUUUUUUUUUAAGUCCUCUUUAGCUUACACUUCAGCGUCUCCUUUAGAAUCAGGACUUGUGUUUUCUUUAAUGUCAUGGAAACUGAACCGUAUGGAUGAAUGUAUGUCUGCAAAUUAGGUGGCCACCAAAUAUUCGCUUGUCUUUAAAUAUACUUUCAUAAACCAUUUUUCAUGUAAAUCACAUGAGCGUGUAUAGUCUUUGGAUAAUGUACAAAUGACUGUAAUGUGAUCUGCUGACAAAAUGAACAAAGUGGCCAUCACUAACUUUGUUUUGAUUGUAGAUGGUAAUAUUCCAGAUGUCCUCACUGCUGAGAGCUUUUGCUUGCCGGGAUAUAGCAAUCAUGGUAUGUAACUGAACAAAGAGCCGGGAUAGAGCACACAAGGUGAUUAUCGAGACAGACAACAUCAAGAUGCAAAGAAGAUAUAAAGAGGAGCAUGCAUAAAUUCUUGCUACCUGACAGCUGAUGGUGAGCACAGAGUUGCAAACUUGUCUCCCUUCCCUGCAAACUUCAGUGCCAUUCAAUUAACCAAAUCAGUGUGUUGCUCUUUUUUUCCUAUUUUUUCUUCUUUCUUGAUCGUGCUCAUACUGUUGUGGAUUGCUUACCGAACUGUGUAUUAGUAUUAAUUAGUAAUGCACAGUUCUGUAUACACUUCAUUAAGUAGGAAUAAUGACAUUUCACAAACAUGGUCUAAGCUCCAGGUGAGCUCCAUGCAAGAUUAAAGUUACUGCCCCCAAACUGAUUUUAUGCCUCUUGAAACAUCUUACAUGAUUAUAUUAUUAAAAAAGUAUGUUGGUUCAAUGACGUUGACAUGGUGUCCCAAGUAUCACUCAGUCAAUGUAUCUCUGUUAAACUUGGUCCUUGUGACAACAGAUGCUUCAAAUUGUACUUCACUGCUCCCAAACAUGAAUGUUGCUUAUAUUGCUCAGCUUUCUAAUUGUUGGUUGGUUAUUUGGCAUGAUAGUUGAUGGCUUGAUGCCCUAUCAGCAGCAUGAAAGGUAACUCGAGACAGUUCCUUAUAGUUAUCAUGUUCUUCUUAAUAUUUGUUUUUCGUUUAUAUGUUUCAGUUUUUGCAUGGAUUAAUCAGUUGAGAAACACGAAAAGGACACAGCUAAAUGCUAUAUGAGGCAGGUGGCUUAUCCCUGUUAGUUUUCCGUUUUGCUAUUUAAAACCAAUAAUACAUAUUAGUUAACUUAAGGGUAAGCUGAUUGAUGAAUGCACUUCAUGAAAAUGGCAUUAUUGUUGUUGAGAGUGGGCAAGCUGUGCAUGCAACAAUGACAGGGAAAUGAGUGUGUGUUUCUCCUAAGGGAACUACCGAAUCUAUAGUUUAUUUGGUUCCCAGAUCCCUCAUUAGUCCUUGUGUUGGUUGUAUUUAGUUAAAUAAUUGCAAAAUAAAUAGGCGCCUAAAGUCUUGCCUUUAUCACUGUAUGCAAUGAAUUAAUAUUAUGACCGGUUCAUGGCGCCUGCGAUUCUUUUUCAUUCUACUUAUAAAAGUAGUUACAUAUGUUGGGUGGCAGAGGUAGAACAAAUAGCUAAAUUUGAUCUUAUAUAGUGUGAUAAUUUAUCCAGUACGCCGUCCAAGACAAGACAGGCCCAAGAAGAAACUUCAUUACAACUAAACCAUUCUUUCACAGAGAAAAAAAAUCUUGAAAGAAUUAGAGCAAAAGAAAAACACUUUAGGUCGAAAACAUAAACACGCAGGUAUUUUUUACUUGAUAUAUCGACCAUCCGAGAAAGAUCAGACAUACAAUUUGGACACCAUAAGAUAAAGCUGCAUAUUGGUUUGCAUCUGUUCUUUACUUCUUAAUAAUGUUACUGACAUGUUUUUAUGAGAAAAUACCACUUACAGCUGAUGGCAUGGCAUCCAAACAAUAUUGCCUCGGUUUUACCUCUGCGCAGGACCGUGCUGUCAUUGAACAUUGGCUAAAUUUCCAAGUGUGAUCUUGUUUCUCUAGGCCUACAAGGUGUUCGAUAAAAUUCCAAGGAUGUUUGGGGAGGAUUGAUCUCUGGAACGGUGGUGCAGUUGGUGUGAGUCAAGGAAGGGCAGGGGUGAGAGCGUCCCAGUGACCGCCACCCAGCAACGCCGGUGGCGAGCACCUCGAGCCAGGUACGGUUCCUGUUCGUUUGACUUCUACAUUUACUUCGCCUCCACCAGAUGGCUAGCAAACAGAUUGGAGUCAGCUCUCGCUCAUCUGUUCUAGAUCCAGUAUGUUAUUCAGCUCAUUAAAAUUGUUGGUGUUGAUGAUAAUUUGGUGCUCUUUUUGAUGCUUUGACAUGGAUUGGAGCAAAGAGAAGAGUCACAGGAAGGUGCUUUGGAGGAAGAGCUCAACAAAAUAAUUUCUUACUCCAUGGAGCAUUUCUUACUAAAUCUCAAAAUCCUCUCAAUUCUUGUUGUUCUCAGUUCAUAGCCCGUCAGACAAAUAUGCAUGCCCAGACACGCACUAUCUUCAGUUUAGUACCUUCACGAGUAGAGGACAGAUUAGGGUAGCGACUUUUAGGUUGCAGUUUGGUGGCCUGAUAGGGUAGAUGGCUUGAUGUUCUUUUAAGUUCUUGCAGUUAAUCAUUAACAGUGUGGUUCUACAGUUUGAUCCGAGAUGGAUGCCUUUGUUCUGCAGUUUGGUGGCCUGAUAGGGUACAUGGCCACAAGGACAACUGAAUCAAUUUCUUACUUAAAGUCUGUGAGAUUAACUCGUGCAUGUGUUUCUGAACAGGGCAUGUAAUUAAGCUCCUAUUCCUGAUAGCCUACAACCGAUUUGAUUGGCUUGUGUAUGUUGCUUACAGGCUUGACUGAAUAUAAUUUACAGUAAAGAGCUUAUUUGGUUGAACCAUAUUUUACUUUGGGAGAAGAGAGAAGGCAUUUGUGUAUUUUUUUGCCAGCAGUAGCUAACUGUACUAUAGUAGAUCAUAUGCAGAGCUGGAAGGUGCAGUUGUUCCAAAUCUGGUAUUGUGCUAAUACUUCUAUCCAAGCUGCCAUGAGAAAAUGAUCCUCAUUAGUUCGAGAGGAUUUUGAGAUUUAGUAUUGCUUGUACGAGUGAUUCCUUUCUCAGUGUCACUUUCAAUAUGUUUCCUUUCUUUUCAUCCCUGUAGCGUAGAAUGGCAAGUGACAUACUGUAAUUACAUUUUUGUAAGGGAUGUCGGCAUGUUAACAUACUUCGCUGGAGUGCGUUAAUUUGACCUUUUGGGACAUCUCUAUAAUUUUUUACUUUGACCGUUUUCGUUGCUUAGGCUGCAGGACAUCAUGGUGGUGGUGGACCUCGUGGUGAUCAGAGGAGUGCAGGAGGAGAUGUGUUUAAAUGGUUAGCAAGACCGUUCGGUCUGAAUAAAUCUCAAAAAGCGGCAAAGGAUGAUUCAGGGGUCACUAUUGAGGAAGAAAUUAGAUGGUGGAGCUCACACUGAGAGGUAUGACCUGAAGGGAGGAUGAAGGAUAUGUUGAUGUGCUUCGAUGGUUGAGGCGGGUGUCACGGCCAUGGUUCUUCCUUUCUGCCACUGAUGGCACCGGAUGGCAUCGACGGCAUGCAGGAGCUAUCAACUCACUUUUCAUGUAUUUUGGUUACUGGAAAAUUUAUUGAGACUCAAGAAUCAAGACAAAGGCAACAAAAUUCCGAAGGUGGUAAUUUUUUGUUCCCAUAUGUGAAUGAGUGAAUACUAAUUGCUGCAAAUCUGUACUAGCCAUCCGAUACUUUGCAGAUUGCCUAUAUUAAAGCAUGGUUAGUGCGUAGUUCUGAGUUUCUGGUUCUCAUCUGCUUUCCAUUCUUGAGUGCUUUAGCCAUCAUUGUUUGAAACGUCUUAAAGCCUAAUGUUACAAUGAUAUGAUAGCCCAGAGGGAGUACUUAGCGGGAGCGAACUAGGUGGAGGCGUUAAUUGAGGGAAGGCUGGCGGCGCGGGAGCGAGCGUGGGUCACGACGCAGCUGAGCGGUCACCAGCGUCUCUUUGCCGGCUAUAGGGGAGGCGAAGAUGUUUGGACAAGCAGGCAAGGGAGGAGGACCAGGGAAGGCGCAGCAGCAGCGAGGCCAUGGGGAAAGGGAAAGAGGCCAGUGGGAGGCUUUCUGAGCCAUGACGCAAACCAUGUCCAUCUCCUCCUGACGGCUCUGCACCGACAUGGCAGGUCCGCCGCGGCUCCGACAACUCUCCUCAGAGAUGACGCCGCUUCCUCGUAGCGCUGAUGGCGACAACGACGGCCAUCUUCGGUCGACCCGGUUGCCUAGCGGCCACCGACAUAGCAUUGGGUUGCACACACAAUUCAUCCAUAAUAGAUGCUCCAAGCAGCACAAUGCAUUACAUUAUUUCAAGUCAGGGACUUCUAAAAGUCAGAAACGCUUCUGAUAUUACGAAGAUGGUAAAAAGUUCAAUAAUAAUCGGUUGAGGCCAUCAAGAGCUGUAAACCAUGCACCAAAUGUUUGAAGCCUGGCUUGGUCUUCUGGAGAAGGGUUCGCUAGAAGUUCAUUGGAGCAUGGGUUUCCCUGCAAUAGACAUACAUGUAGUAGCAUCCAAGAUUCCAAAGCCCCAUCUUUAUGGGAAACCUGCAAAAGAUGAUGGUUUGCUUUUCUUUGUGUACACUACUAUAUUUUGAAGUCAUUCAGUUAUCCUAGGCUUGUCUCCUUCAUAUGGGCUCGUGAUUCACAUCAUAGCAUGCCACAUGUAAGUUGUUUGUUUUUAAUUAUUUUGGUUGAUUUUAAGGGUUAGGUAAUCUUUGACCUUCAUUUUCAUCCAACUAGAGCCCAUGUCGUUACUCAGAUUUGCAUUGUGCAAUAGAAGUCACUAUUUCCUAAAUGUGAGUUGGGUUAUCACGUCUGUAGUGCUCAACAUGUGUUUUGAAUGUAAAAUGACCACUUAUGAUGUAGAAUUGAAAAUAUGGGUUCUACUGUUUAGUUCUUAUUUUUGCACUAGACACUCAGCAAUGUCUAACUUAUUUCCCCGUAAUUGUUGUAUGAGUUAUUCUACUGUUGUUCUAUGCUUGGUAAGCACGGUAAAUCUAAUUCCAAAAUUUACAUGUCGGCUUCUCAUAGAGAUCUAGAACUCUUUUAGCUACGAUAUAGGUUACUUUAAAAUGGUAAUAUGACCGCACAUUUUUUUAUUUUGGCUCAGGUAUAGUGCUCCAGAUCUCAUUUCCCUUCCUUUUCUGCUGCCCACCUUAAAAAUUAUGUAGAUAGACUUGCUGACAAUAGGCAUUAUGUGAUAUUGAUCUUGAGAAGUAGUUGCGGUAGAUGAAAGGCUAAAUUAUGAGCUUUUAGGUUUAUCUUCUUUCCUAUUAUGAACUGACAAGAUGAAGACGUGUACUGAAGCAUAAAAUAGCCAGGGGACAACACUUAGGAUAAUGUUAUGAAGGGGGAGGAAAGCUGCAAGAUUCAGACUCGAAUCUGUAACAAGUAACUCCAAUCUUUAUGUUUCUGCUAUUGCAUGGUUUCCGUUCAUAUUUGGUUGUUUCUCUAUAAGAUUUUUUUAGGUAAUUUUGUUAGUCUCAUAUACUCCUUGUAAAAACAUAAAGUUGUCAUUAGCACUUUAGCAGUCAUAUGACCGAUAUCUUGGAUGACAACAACCUGCACUGCCUCUUACGUCUCAAGAAAAGGAGACAAAUGCAAGGAAUUUCCAUAGUUGGUUAUUUACUUGUCACAAGUUGAAUAAAUGCAUGAUGGAGUAUUCAAGUGGACAUUUAAUUUAGGUUUACGAGAAGUGAAAUUACAUUUUUCUGAUGCUGACAUCAUGAAGUUACCUACCUUAAUCUGCAAAGUGUAAAUUUUGUUUUCUAACGGCAUUGAUGACUUUCUAGCAGGUUGCGUUAUUGUUAUUUCUGAAAUACAUUUCUUUAAGAUCUACUAUUUCUCUAAAUGUAUUGCCUAAAAUGGUUAAUCUGUUUUGUCAUCUAUCAAGUGCUAGGUAAAUCUUGGGGCUGGCAGCGGAUGGCGUGGAUGGUUGUUCCUGAUGACGUGAAUGUCCAUACUGAUUACUUGGUUAGCGGAUUAGAUGAGACGGAGAGAAUGGAGGAAGGUGUAGUAGGUCAAGACGGAGGGGUAGCGAGAUAUGUUAAAAGGAAUAGACUGGGUUGUUAACACAAUCGAAUGGGGAGAUAGGCGGUAUCAGCCGAGAAUAGUGGUGAGUGUAGCAGAUCAAGACGGAGGGGUAGUGAGGGUUGUUAACACAACCGAAUGGGGAGAUAGGCGGUAUCAGCUGAGAAUAGUGGUGAAAAUUGUUUACGCAGGGCGAACAUGUGUAAGUCUAUGGUUCGCUUUGUAUCGGUUAUGGCACACAAAAUCUCGAACCUAACUAUUUUUGUCUUGCUACUCACAAUAAGUAGAAGCAUUAUUCUUGGAAUUAGUAAUUAUGUUAUUAUGCUUCUUUCA